CCAAGAAGUGGAGCUGCUAACCUGGGAUAAACUGACAAGAUCACAGACGGAGUUGGCAGGACUGCGUUCGAUAAGGAUUCGAAUCCACAGGCAUACCAAUGCAAGGCUUGGUUUUUGCUACAUGUCGUGGAGGCAGAAUUCAUCAAGUGAACAGAAAAACAAAAACAAAAAAGCAAAACAGACUUUUCCGCACGAGAUCUGUGUGUUCAGGAGUCAUCAGAAGCAUGCAGAGAACCACCAAGAAUCUGCCCUUGACAUCAGUUUUUGGCUCUGACAACACUUUGGGUGUUCACUGUUGUGGAAGGAACAGCAAAGCACACUUCUUCAU